ACAUUGUCUGCUAUUUCUGUAUUAGACACAUUGACUGUAGCAGUCUAGGAAAGGAAGAUACACAGAAAAAUGUAUAAAGCUAAAGGAAGAGAAACUCAAACCAAACCCAAACAUUUCUUAAAAUAUGCAGUGCCUGAUGGUGCUCAGUCACAACAGAUGGACGUGCUGUGGGACCCUACCAGUAUAAGAUGUUCCAUAUAAAGGAGCUUGGGAGGGAAAGAACUAAUUUGCCAACGGCCAAGUGCGUUUUCCAGGAGACAUGACCGGGAAAAGUUUAACUCACAUUAUUAUGCUCUUUGUUGUUGCCUCAGCUCCAGUGGAUUAUUAGUUCCUGCAGAGAUGUCCUCAGGAUCCCUGGAGCAAUCUUAAAAAAUGUACACAAAGACGGGCACCCUUGAAAGAAUAAUGGCUGUUUUUGCUUCAGGCAAUGCUCACACACACUGACCUCUGCUUACAGGUAACACAGACCCUGGGGACCAUGGGAAGGUUUAGAUCCAGAUGAAGACAACCUGGUUGGCACCUAUGGACGUGUCCAGAUGAGCAUGGUCGUGUGGUAUGUGGCACUGCAAACAUGUUUGCAGCACCACAUGCCGUAGAGUCCGGAGGUCUCCAUGCCGCAAGGGCAUGCUGCCCAAGUGUGUGCUGCUGUUUUUUUCCCUAUAGUUUGUUUUUGACCCCUGGAUAUCCUUGGCUGCAGCUCUGGGAGGCUCCCAGGACCCCAGGUAAGGCUGCUGGGGCCAAAACAGUGCUGGCUCCAGCCUCCCCUACAUCAGUGUUUCCCAACGUUUUCCAGUCCAAAGCACACUUACAUUAAUAAAAAUUUUCCGUGGCACACCUGUUAAAGCAUUCCCCAUACUCAUACCUAUUGUAGCUCACUUCCAUGGCAAAAUUCCACGGCAUGCCUGUUCAUUUUCGAUGGCACACUUUUGUGCUGCGGCACACUGGUUGGGAAACACUGCUCUAUGUUACCCAGGGCGAAUAUAUAUAUUGCUGCAUGCAAAAGUGCGCGUGGCACAGGCAUUCCCUAGGGACAAGAAGUGGUGGUGCAAGGUGCACCGCUGCUACUUGUCCCCAGGGAACCAAACAUCCACACACAUCUGGACGUACCCUGUGUGUCUAAUGACAUUGAAUUGGAGUCCCAGCUCAAGCAUCACCAACAUUGCAAUGUUCUGUUCUGACCGGUUUCUUGUAAACCCAGCUGGACUGUAUGGGAAGACUGGGAGUCUACGAAUCACCUUUUACUACAGGGCCCUGCAAGAGACUCCGGGCUUCAGGACUUGUUCAUUCUGCUGUAGUAUUGUCACAUGAGCAGCCUGCCUGCACAUCAGCACACAGUGCUGCUUGUGUCUUGGUGCUACAUUACUGGGAGUCCCGUUUAAAACAAAUCCAGGACUCUAAAUGCCCAGCAGAGUGCUUUUGGGAACUGUAAAUGACUUGCAAACUUAGGUGCAGGUGCUUGCCACCAAUCUCUAACACUGGGCAGGAGUUCAUCAGUCCUUAACAGGAGAGCAAGACCAGCUACAACUAGUACUUAUUGGUUCUAUUGUGUUAGUCGUUAGGAGCUUGGUGGAGCAGGAACCCCUCAUGAUAGAUAACAGAUGGCUAGAUAACAGCUACUGCUUCAUUGUUAUCUGGUUUCACAGACAGCAAGAUGAUUCCUGAUGAAAUAGAGGUACAAAGGAAGCCAAAGUCCAGAUAUUUCCAGGCUGCAGCCCCUUGGUGCAGUGGUGAUGGAAAGAAUUUACGAUAAUUAUGGAAGACUUUGCUACUAAAAAUAUUCACGGCUCUAUUUUUCCUUGAAAAUCUGAAAGUUCAGCACAAGGGUGUGUGCGCCUAUAUAUUUUAGGACAUCCAAUUGGAAUAGAAGAGCAUCCUGUGCAGAAAAAUAAAGAUACAACAGCCAAUUAUGUCCUUGACAACUCUUAAUGGUUAAAUUUAGUUUUAGAAUUGUUUAUUUCCUUUAACAAGUAGCCAAGUGAGGCCUUAUUUCUCAGCCUUAUUCCAAAGCUUUUGGAUCCAGUUUUUACAGUCUUGCUUGUAUUUUUCUGUCUAACUGGGGUAUUUCGUUCUGUUGUAUUUUUUUCAGCUCUAUGACCCACUUGUUUUGUGGGGAAUAUGGAGGGGUAUAUGGUACAGUUUCCCCAUAAUCCUUAGAUCCUAUUGCUGUUGCUCACAUUCUGUACUGUUAUUGCUUAGCACCCAGAGGCUUUAGGGUGCAGACAGAAGUUACAUUUGUUGCAUGGUUGGCUCCCUGAAAGCACUCUACAGCUGUGCCCUUAUAGAAGUGCAUGGCAGAAGAGCACUUUAAAAGUGCCUGAUUGUACGACAGUCUGAACCCUCAUUAAAUGAGGGCUCAGAUGAAAGUGUUCUGAAGUAGAGAGCCUUCAUUAACAUCUGUCAGCCUGUGCUGGGAGCAGGGCUGGGCUGAUACAGCGCAGCCCCACCCCCAGUGCUGUCUUCAGAAUGGGAGGGGGAGAAGGGAGGGGAGGGAGUUCUGUAUGGGGCUCCAUCCACCCACUCCACCCUCCAGCGCAGGUUGGGCAAACCCCAGAUUGAGCUCCUUCUUCUCCCUUCCUCCCUUCCCAUUCUGAAGAUAGCACUGGAUCUGGGGGGUGAGGGGCAGACCUAGGGGAGAAUGGCUGUAGCUGCUCCAAACUGGAUCUUAAUCUCCAACCCCCUGGAACCAACAGCAAAUGUCUGUUGGGUCAUGGGAAAUGCUGUAACUCAUGGUGCUUUGUGUGAAGUGCCAUGAGUUACGGCUGGGAACUGCAUAUCUGUCAGCACCCUUAGUGAGAAUUAGGACGUUAUACAAACUCAGAAUAAAAAAUGAACUGCUCCUCCAAUGAGGCUAUCUUCCUAACGAACAACAGCUUGAACAUUUUCCUUCAUUUUUCUUGCAUGUGUCACUUGUUCAGUGUCUUCAGUUAGAGGAUAUUUUUUUUGGUGAGAGAUGAACCACUUAGUGCUUGAGUCUGAUCUCACUGAAGUCAAAGUGUAGCCAUUGAGUUCAAUGAGACUGGGCCUACUGCAUUGGGAGAUUACAUUCAGAUUAGCACCCAGAAGUUUGUCCUCUCUUUAUCUGUCUGCAAAGCUAGGCUGUGAUUUUCACCUCCUUAUUACAGCAGUGAAUCACAAACUGGUUGGCACUAAAGUAUUAAAAAAUAUCUUAGAAUGUCCCUAUUUUUCCUGCUUUUGGCCAAGUUAGAAUACAGCAAAAGAAAGUCCUGGGAUGGGAUUACAUUGCUUUCCCAUCUAGCCCUAGAUCAGAAGCCUGCAAGCAGCAGGAAAAGUAAAACAACCUUAUCUGGUAAACUUAUAUGAACAUUUUUUUUAACCUGUAUGGAGGUCAUAAGCUCCUGUAGGCCUGGGUUCAAAGUUUGGACUAGUUCUUACUCUAUUUAGAUCCUAUCCCACCUCCCCAUGAUCUACAUGUAUUAUCACUUGAUAUCUCUGAGAAUUUCCCACUGUAAACGAAUGGUCUAUUCUCUCCUGUUGAGCGCGCUGUUGUUUUUAUAGCAUUUGGCCUUGGGUACUAAAUGUCAUAUGUUUGUUAUAGGGUGGUGUAGGUGUUUUGUGUCUUGUGAUAUGUGAGGUGGAAGGAAAUGAGAGUUAAUUAACAGUUUCUUGUGAUUGAGAGUGACUGAACUUGAUGGCCCAGAUCCCUUGCAGUCCUAUUUUGUUGUGCUUUUGCCUUGUACCAUUGUAUUUACAUGCCUCACAUGGAAUAGCUCAUCUUUCUUCACACAAGUCUCUUGUCCUCAAAAAAGAUUUCCCAAAUGCGGGCAGACUAUCCUUAUAGUAAACUUGCUUUAUUCUCGUCCCUGACCUCAGGCACAUCUGGUUACCUGGGAAACUUAAGAAAUUAUCUCUUGCUUCUUUAGUUGUGAGUGGGUCUCUGUAGCUUUUCACAUGUAUGUAUUAUUUUUACUGCCAAGUCUGAAUUCUUUCUGAUAAUAUGCCAUAAUACAAUUUCAGAGCAACUACUGAGAAGCUCUGCAUUAAAAAGAAAUUCAAACAGA